rnacentral:rRNA from 1 species
UACAGGCUUAACACAUGCAAGUCGAGGGGAAACGAUAUUGGAAGCUUGCUUCCGAUAGGCGUCGACCGGCGCACGGGUGAGUAACGCGUAUCCAACCUGCCCAUCACUUGGGGAUAACCUUGCGAAAGUAAGACUAAUACCCAAUGACGUCUCUAGAAGACAUCUGAAAGAGAUUAAAGAUUCAUCGGUGAUGGAUGGGGAUGCGUCUGAUUAGCUUGUUGGCGGGGUAACGGCCCACCAAGGCAACGAUCAGUAGGGGUUCUGAGAGGAAGGUCCCCCACAUUGGAACUGAGACACGGUCCAAACUCCUACGGGAGGCAGCAGUGAGGAAUAUUGGUCAAUGGACGAGAGUCUGAACCAGCCAAGUAGCGUGCAGGAAGACGGCCCUAUGGGUUGUAAACUGCUUUUAUAAGGGAAUAAAGUUAGUCUCGUGAGACUUUUUGCAUGUACCUUAUGAAUAAGGACCGGCUAAUUCCGUGCCAGCAGCCGCGGUAAUACGGAAGGUCCGGGCGUUAUCCGGAUUUAUUGGGUUUAAAGGGAGCGUAGGCCGGAGAUUAAGCGUGUUGUGAAAUGUAGACGCUCAACGUCUGCACUGCAGCGCGAACUGGUUUCCUUGAGUACGCACAAAGUGGGCGGAAUUCGUGGUGUAGCGGUGAAAUGCUUAGAUAUCACGAAGAACUCCGAUUGCGAAGGCAGCUCACUGGAGCGCAACUGACGCUGAAGCUCGAAAGUGCGGGUAUCGAACAGGAUUAGAUACCCUGGUAGUCCGCACGGUAAACGAUGGAUGCCCGCUGUUGGUCUGAAUAGGUCAGCGGCCAAGCGAAAGCAUUAAGCAUCCCACCUGGGGAGUACGCCGGCAACGGUGAAACUCAAAGGAAUUGACGGGGGCCCGCACAAGCGGAGGAACAUGUGGUUUAAUUCGAUGAUACGCGAGGAACCUUACCCGGGCUUGAAUUGCAGAGGAAGGAUUUGGAGACAAUGACGCCCUUCGGGGCCUCUGUGAAGGUGCUGCAUGGUUGUCGUCAGCUCGUGCCGUGAGGUGUCGGCUUAAGUGCCAUAACGAGCGCAACCCCUCUCCUUAGUUGCCAUCAGGUCAAGCUGGGCAUUCUGGGGACACUGCCACCGUAAGGUGUGAGGAAGGUGGGGAUG